GAUGCGUCAUAUAAAUCUUCGCGCAGGCCGUUCAUCCUUCCUUUUUUAGUAGAGUGCAAUGUGGUUGCUGCACAAAUUUUCUCAAUCAACGCAUUUCGCGUUUAUGCGAAUAAGUCAAUCAGGAAAUGAUGAUGAUGGCGUUUGAAGACAUGCAUUGGUCACCGUACUGACCAGCCAAGAUGUUAAGUCUCUGGAGAGAAGGUGUGCCCUGAUUUGAUCUGUGGUGCCAAAGAGAAGAGCAUGAAGGUGAAGGGACCCGUGCGGAUGCCCACUAAGACUGUGCAUCACGACUCGUAAGACGCCUUGUGGUAAAGGAUCCAAGACCUGGGACAGAUUUGAAAUGCAGAUUCACAAGCAUAUGAUUGAUCUGCACAGCCCAUCUAAAAUCAUCAAGCAGAUCACCAGCAUUGAGCCGGGUGUGGAUGCCGAGGUCACCAUUGCAGAUGCAUAAACUGAUGAAUUCAUCUGAUGUGUAAUUGCUCUUUGUGGAGAUUUUUCAGACACCCGUCUGGUG